rnacentral:misc_RNA from 1 species
CGUGCAUAUUGCCCUGUA